GGCUUAGAGUUUGAUCAUGGCUCAGGAUGAACGCUGGCGGCGUGCCUAACACAUGCAAGUCGAACGAAGCGAUUUUGCGGAAGUUUUCGGAUGGAAGUAGAAUUGACUGAGUGGCGGACGGGUGAGUAACGCGUGGAUAACCUGCCUCAUACAGGGGGAUAACAGUUAGAAAUGACUGCUAAUACCGCAUAAGCGCACGGGAACACAUGUUCCUGUGUGAAAAGCCGAGACGGUAUGAGAUGGAUCCGCGUCUGAUUAGCUAGUUGGUGAGGUAACGGCCCACCAAGGCGACGAUCAGUAGCCGACCUGAGAGGGUGACCGGCCACAUUGGGACUGAGACACGGCCCAAACUCCUACGGGAGGCAGCAGUGGGGAAUAUUGCACAAUGGGGGAAACCCUGAUGCAGCGACGCCGCGUGAGUGAAGAAGUAUUUCGGUAUGUAAAGCUCUAUCAGCAGGGAAGAGAAUGACGGUACCUGACUAAGAAGCCCCGGCUAACUACGUGCCAGCAGCCGCGGUAAUACGUAGGGGGCAAGCGUUAUCCGGACUUACUGGGUGUAAAGGGAGCGUAGACGGCAUAGCAAGUCUGAAGUGAAAUACCCGGGCUCAACCCGGGAGCUGCUUUGGAAACUGUUAGGCUGGAGUGCUGGAGAGGCAAGCG
rnacentral:rRNA from 1 species